rnacentral:rRNA from 1 species
AGAGUUUGAUCAUGGCUCAGGAUCAACGCUGGCGGCGUGCCUAAUGCAUGCAAGUCGAGCGGGGUGCUCUUCGGAGCACUUACGCGGCGGACGGGUGCGGAACACGUGGGCAACCUGCCCUGAGGUGGGGGAUAGCCGGCGGAAACGCCGGGUAAUUCCGCAUACGCUCACGAGCCGAGAGGCUGGUGAGGAAAGGGUCUUUUAGACUCGCCUUAGGAGGGGCCUGCGGCCGAUUAGCUAGACGGUGGGGUAACGGCCUACCGUGGCGAUGAUCGGUAGCUGGUCUGAGAGGACGGCCAGCCACACGGGGACUGAGACACGGCCCCGACUCCUACGGGAGGCAGCAGCAAGGAAUCUUCCGCAAUGGGCGAAAGCCUGACGCAGCGACGCCGCGUGGGGGAAGAAGGCCUUCGGGUUGUAAACCUCUUUCAGCAGGGACGAAGCCACUCGGGUGAAUAGCCCAGAGGGUGACGGUACCUGCAGAAGAAGCCCCGGCUAACUACGUGCUAGCCGCCGCGGUAAUAC